AGGUUUCAAAGGAUAAAGAAAAAGAACAAAAACAUUGCUUCUCCGCAUAUCUCUUGUCCGCUUCCAUGCACUUCUCUUGUCUCAAAUCUUGUACAUGUACUCUCUUUCAAGUUCACCUCUUUUCCUGCUAAAAAGAUUUUCAACUCCUUCAAACUCAAUUUGUCUCUUCCUGGGUAUCUCCGAUUGAGCUACUGUUCUCUGUUCUGCAGAUGGGUUUU
rnacentral:misc_RNA from 1 species